rnacentral:misc_RNA from 1 species
UCAGCUUACACUUGCUUACUG